rnacentral:rRNA from 1 species
CGCCGCCGCGGUAAUACGUAGGGUGCGAGCGUUACUCGGAUUUACUGGGCGUAAAGCGUGCGCAGGCGGCCCGUUAAGACAGGUGUGAAAUCCCUGGGCUCAACCUAGGAAUUGCGCUUGUGACUGGCGGGCUCGAGUACGGUAGAGGGGGGUGGAAUUCCUGGUGUAGCAGUGAAAUGCGUAGAGAUCAGGAGGAACACCGAUGGCGAAGGCAGCCCCCUGGGCCUGUACUGACGCUCAUGCACGAAAGCGUGGGGAGCAAACAGGAUUAGAUACCCUGGUAGUCCACGCCCUAAACGAUGGGUACUAGCCGUUUGGUGCGCGAUAGCGCUGAGUGGCGAAGCUAACGCGUGAAGUACCCCGCCUGGGGAGUACGGCCGCAAGGUUGAAACUUAAAGGAAUUGGCGGG